ensembl:lncRNA
GAAUCUUUUUCUGGGGAUCCCUCCUUGAUGCAGCUUUCCCUUGUGAUCCUGAAAUCUUCUGAUACAGGUUCUUUAAAAGAGGAGACAGUAACAGUGAAGCAUCCUACUGUUAACUGCUUGGGAGCAGUUCAAUAAAUCUGUUUUUAUAAACAAAACAUCUGUCUGGAGAAAGGUGGAAAAGUUGCUUGAAAACAUCUGUACUUCAUCCUUUUAAAGAAUGCAGUGGGAAUCUUUUGUAAUAUUUAUGUAAGCAGCAGCUGUGAGAGUGGAUCAAUAAGACUACAAAUUUGCUACACAAGUCUGUGGUUUGCCACUAACUUAAGACAACUUAAUCUUGCUCUGUAUUUCAUGGCUGUUACAAGGGGUGGUAUCUUUCUUUCUUUUUGUGUGCUUACUGUUCAUGCUUAAACAGUUUUUAUAAUGGGAAACCUUGAAGGUUCUUAAAUAUUUCCUUGAGAAUUGCACAGGAGUGUAAAAAUUUUUACUUCCAUCUAUUCAUUUUUUUUUACUUAGAAAGAAAAAUCUUGUUCUCCUCCACCCCCACCUCUAACAGCUGAAGUGUUUGUUCUGUAAAUCAUCCUGGUGAGCAUUACUCCCAGAACCUCCUUGCAUAAAGUAACUCUAAGAAAACCUAUGUUAGUGGCAGCAGUUUUUAAAAAGUGUGGAGGAUUGCAGAAGUCUACUUUUCCGGAGUUUUGACCAUGUAUUUCCCUACUAGUACAUUGGAACUGGAUGGCAAGAUUAACAGACAAUUUUUUCCUCAGUUAGAUCUAUAAGUUUAUUAAAUUAAACUGCAUACGCUUGUAUGUAAUUUAGUAUUUCAGAAUUCAUGUCAUCCAAACUGGUGUAAAUGGAUAAUUUGUGAAUGAUGUAGCUGACAAAUGUAACUGCACAUAACUUUGGGGGAAAGUAAUAUCUUUGCUACUCCAGAAAUUACCUUUAAACAUGUUGCAUAUAUAGAAACAACUCUGAAAUGAUGCUAUUAGAUAUGACUGUGCUGGUUCUUUCAAGCCAUUGAGACCAGUGGUACACAGUUUCAGCAUGCUCAACUCUUGAAAUUUGCCUCUGCCUCAUCUACUGGUGUUAAUCACCAUAAAUUCCCAUUUACUACCUCUUCCAUUGCCCGACCUGCAGUAUUGUGAUCCAUGUGAAAACUGCAUCACUAUUACUUCUUGUGCUGUUCUUGUGGCGUGAUCAUUGUUACCCUGGCCUCCUUGCAUCAGAAAUCUCUUUUUUUCUGUUCAUGACCGCUCCCACUACAGUGUUUAUUGAGAAAUCAUGCUUAUUUGAUCUGAUUGGAAAGCAUCAAUAUCCAUAGAAAUGCUUAUCAGAAUAGCCUUUUAAACAUAGACAUGCUGACACUGCUGUUUGGGAGAGCAAGUUUCUACCUCUAAAAAAAAAAUUACUGAACAGUGAAUCU